rnacentral:rRNA from 1 species
GACGAACGCUGGCGGCGUGCUUAACACAUGCAAGUCGAGCGAGAAAGCGGCUUCGGCCGUGAGUACAGCGGCGAACGGGUGAGUAACACGUGGGCAACCUGCCCCAGAGACUGGGAUAACGUCCCGAAAGGGACGCUAAUACCGGAUAACGCGUGGCCUGCCAAGUGGGCCACGCCAAAAGGUAGCUUCGGCUUCUGCUCUAGGAUGGGCCCGCGCCGGAUUAGCUUGUUGGUGAGGUAACGGCUCACCAAGGCGACGAUCCGUAGCUGGUCUGAGAGGACGAUCAGCCACACUGGGACUGAGACACGGCCCAGACUCCUACGGGAGGCAGCAGUGGGGAAUCUUGCGCAAUGGGCGAAAGCCUGACGCAGCAACGCCGCGUGAGCGAAGACGGCCUUCGGGUUGUAAAGCUCUGUCAGGAGGGACGAAGCCACUCAGGUGAAUAGCCGAGAGGGUGACGGUACCUCCAGAGGAAGCCCCGGCUAACUACGUGCCAGCCGCCGCGGUAA